GUCGAGAAUAAUUCACAAUGGGGGAAACCCUGAUGGUGCAACGCCGCGUGGAGGAUGAAGGUCUUCGGAUUGUAAACUCCUGUCAUCUGGGAGUAAGACCUGACGGUGAAUAGCCGGCAGGGUUGAUAGUACCAGAAGAGGAAGGGACGGCUAACUUCGUGCCAGCAGCCGCGGUAAUACGAAGGUUCCAAGCGUUGUUCGGAAUCACUGGGCGUAAAGGGAGCGUAGGCGGCGUGGUAAGUCAGAUGUGAAAUCCCGGGGCUCAACCCCGGAACUGCAUCCGAUACUGCCAUGCUUGAGGGUUGGAGAGGUAGCUGGAAUUCUCGGUGUAGCAGUGAAAUGCGUGGAUAUCGAGAGGAACACUCGUGGCGAAGGCGAGCUACUGGACAACAUCUGACGCUGAGGCUCGAAGGCCAGGGGAGCAAAAGGGAUUAGAAACCCCGGUAGUCC
rnacentral:rRNA from 1 species